rnacentral:rRNA from 1 species
UUACAGAGUUCAUGCCCUCCGGGGCAGACCUCCCACCCUUUGUAUACAUUGCCUUUGUUGCUUUGGCGGGCCGCCGCAAGGCCACCGGCUUCGGCUGGUGCGCGCCCGCCAGAGGACCCCAACCCUGUCUUACAGUGUCGUCCGAGUACUAUAUAAUAGUUAAAACUUUCAACAACGGAUCUCUUGGUUCUGGCAUCGAUGAAGAACGCAGCGAAAUGCGAUAAUUAAUGUGAAUUGCAGAAUUUAGUGAAUCAUCGAAUCUUUGAACGCACAUUGCGCCCCUUGGUAUUCCGGGGGGCAUGCCUGUUCGAGCGUCAUUUCAACCCUCAAGCUCUGCUUGGUCUUGGGCCCCGCCGGCGACGGCAGGCCUCAAAAACAGUGGCGGCGCCGUCCGGUCCCUCAGCGUAGUAAUUCUUCUCGCUGCUGGGCCCGGGUGGCCGCUGGCCAGGAACCCCAAACUUUCUAUGGUUGACCUCGGAUCAGGUAGGGAUACCCGCUGAACUUAA